rnacentral:rRNA from 1 species
UGGGGAAUAUUGCACAAUGGAGGGAACUCUGAUGCAGCGACGACGCGUGAACGAAGAAGGCUUUCGAGUCGUAAAGUUCUUUUAUAUGGGAAGAUAAUGACGGUACCAUAAGAAAAAGCCCCGGCUAACUACGUGCCAGCAGCCGCGGUAAUACGUAGGGGGCUAGCGUUGUCCGGAAUCACUGGGCGUAAAGGGUUCGCAGGCGGAAAUGCAAGUCAGGUGUAAAAGGCAGUAGCUUAACUACUGUAAGCAUUUGAAACUGCAUAUCUUGAGAAGAGUAGAGGGAAGUGGAAUUUUUAGUGUAGCGGUGAAAUGCGUAGAUAUUAAAAAGAAUACCGGUGGCGAAGGCGACGUACUGGGCUCAUUCUGACGCUGAGGAACGAAAGCGUGGGUAGCAAACAGG